ensembl:lncRNA
AGAAAAUAAAUAAAAUACUCCUAAAAAACCAUGGCUGCUUAAAAAGAGACACCUAACUCUGUAGCAGAGCACCCCAUUUUUCCACCAAUCAGAAGGCCAGAGCACAAUGGAUCACAUCCAAUCAAACAGUUGGUCUAAUUAACCACAACAAGCAUGGUGGAAUGGAAACAACAGAAAGGACAAUGGAUAAAGGAUGAGGUCAGAGGGGACUAUGUGCCAUACUGCAUGAUCAUCUUGACGGCAUACUGCAAGGAUGGGAUUCUAUCACACAACAGGCCUAGGGGGGUAAACACUGUGGUGCAGUCCAUCAGCACGGGGCCACACGGAGCCAACCUUCUGCAGUCCAUUUCCCUCCACCCACAGAGGAAAUACACUGCGCUUUGUUUAUGCUUCAGGGGCCUCCACUGUUCAGAAAUGUGAGAACGGCAGAGAAGAGGAGGGAGACAGAACUUAUCUUCUACUUUCCAUGAGAUUUAGAGGUUUGUACGAAUUAAAAAAAGAAGACACCUCAGUCCCAGCAGAUGGUUGUUGGGAGCCGCGUGUUCUUAACAAUCUGUAAUUCCCCCGUUUAAAGAUGUUCUGUGGUCACCCACUCUGCCCUCAGGACUGUAUCUGCCCUCACAUUAUUAAACUCUGCAUAGAGAACAGUCUGGCAUUGCUGGCCCGAUAGAAAUGUUUUGACACCGGCACCGUGCCGCCCUCUCACCAGACGCAAUCACAUCGGUUUACCUUCCAAAACACAACGCCAUCUAUUUAUUUAUUUUUUUAUUUAUCCUGCAAAAUGGAUUUUUUUUUUUUUUUGUCUCUCGCUCUUAAACCCUCCAUUCUUCUCCCCCAAAGAGGUGCCUCUGUUCGCUGCAGAUAAAUAGGAAUUCCAAACUCCAACGCUUCAUUUGUCAUGGUAUGAAAUCCAAGAGUGGAAUCUAGAAAUAGCUCCAGCAAUGUUAAUGUGCAGUGCCUGAGGCCUGAUAACAUGUAGGAGGUUUUUAGUGAUAUUUGCCUCUUGCAUAUUUUGUUCCGGGAUUUUUUUCUUUUCUUUUUCUUUUUUUUUUUUUAAGAAAGAGUAGGAAAAAAAAACAAGAUCUGCACUUUUUUGCUGCAAAUAUUGUGAAAUGAUAUUCCUUUUUCCUCCACACUGGCUGAGCCCAUUAUUUGGCUAUGACAUUACAGUUUUAAUUGAAUUGAAUGCAAUUUACUCUUUAAGAAAACUUUUAAUUAAACACCAUAUGGACAGAUCGUGGGGAGAAGUGGCCUCCACAAAGUUCCCUGAGGGAAAUUUGCGGUAUAAUUAAGAAUAUGAACUGUAAUGACACUCCGGGAUUUAAUGAAACUUGCAAUGCAAAUAGGGCUAUGUAUAACCAGCAUUCAUCUGACAAAAUGAGUGAAGUUUGGAGAUGCGUCUAGAGAAACCUCGUUCCCCUGAGCUUACUUUGUGUAAAAUUUGAGUGUAUUGUGGGGGUGGGGACCCGAAAGACCAGCCACAUGAGAGCUUAUAUGACCUUACUGAGACUAAUGGCGAACCCUGGAUCACGAAAACAUUUUGUAAAUGAUUUGCAACACGUCCCAGACUCCGUGUUUGAAAAUCGUGGGAUGACGCCUCGGAUUCAAUUGAAAUGUUGACCACAAAACAACCUCACUUAUUUUUCAAAUGAAAUGUGCCAGUCGCUCGUGGAAGGUUAUCAAGCAGUCACCUGUUUUCUUUUGACCGCUUGGCCAUCUUUUCACACCACAUUACUGCUGCGAGCACUUAUUUUCAGCUCUGCAGAAAUGCAAACUGCGUUAUAUUUUUUUUUUUAAAAGGCUUGUUGGUCUAAUGUAGCUUUGUUACUCUUUAUUUAAUCUUUUAUUGCAAUGGCU